UGAUUGGCAUCCUUAGUAGCCUAAAUAUCUGAGAGAGAGAAAGCAAGAAGUUUAAAAAUUGUCAGAAUAAAAGGCUUUUCAAAGCCACUUUUCAUUGGGUGCCUUCAACUCUGGGAUGAGCUUUGUGCUCUGUGCAAAUGGGUUGAUAAUACACAGGGCAUCUUACUAGUUGAGUGCUACAUAUGCCCCAUCACCAUGCUAUCUGAGUGCCUCGCUGGGUGGAGCUGUGCCUCUCCCAGGAAGGAAUGUCUCAAGAGAACUGCUCCCCGUUCCAAGUUCAUUAGCAGAAAACAUUUGCACCAUUUUAUAUGAUUAAAACCAUUUGACCAAAAACCUUAUAUCCAAAAACAAAACUCCCCCACAACCCAAUCAAGGGUUCUAUCUAUAUGAAGGGAAGAUGGAUAAAUCUACAAUUGCAUCAUCUCUGUGAGUGGAUUAGAUUUAAUAUUGGAGGGGUUUACACAACGUUAAAUCACAUUUGAUCCAUUCUGUGUAUCUGGCACCUAAUGUUAUCUUUGAGAAGGUGGACAAACGCAUCUGCCAGGAUUGUCACAUCACAACUGAGUUAUGUCAUAAUAUAGAACAGGGAGCAGCCACUAGGAAAGAUGGCCCUUCUUAGGCAUCCGUGCUGUUGCAGCAUGACACAUUUCCACUGCCAUGAUUCAUCCUAGUCUGAGAAAUUACUGCUUUAGAUUUCGGAUCCAAGAUAAGUUGUCUCAACUGUAGCUCAGUUCCAAAACAGGAAAGCAACAGGAAGGUUGGAGACCACUGGUCUAAAGGCUUUGGAGUGAGAUGGUACAAGACAGAGCAAGGAAAAGUCAAACACUAAGGAUCAAAACAAAGGCCCAGAAGCCUUGCCUUUGGGGUCAUCAAGCCAUCUGAAGAAAAACUGACAUUCCAGUCAACAAGAUUGAGGGGCUUGGAGAGAGGAAGUCAUGACAUCAAGAAAUAGGCUGUUCCAAGCCUUUUACCAGUCUUUCCCAGCAUCCAAAGAACGCCUGCUAGUGAGAAAUGCUGUGCCAACAGAACAUCACUGCUUGCUUCCUUAAAUUAAAUUCCAGCUCCUGCUGGCCGGAGACUUGCAAAGGCUACAAGAGCUGAAAAUUUCACCAACUCUCUCUCCCCCAUUAUUAAACAUCCCAUUUUCCCUAUUUCUAAUGGCUUGUUUUGAUUGGCCAGGAGAAAGUCCAGUCUUUUUAUUUUCUUUAUUUGAGGGUGUGGAAGUGAAAGCAUAGCUGUGGGCUCUCAAAGCCCACCCUGAAGAGGUGCUAAAAAGAAAAGGUUUAAAGAACCUUAAAAAUCUCAUGGAAGUGUUCGUUAAAAUGUGUUCUGCAUGUAAAAAUCCUCAAGUAAAUAAUUCUUAAA